rnacentral:misc_RNA from 1 species
UGCUAAUGCAAGAUAGCAGGCCAACUGCUUAUUUUAGCAAAGCAUUGUUAAUCCAUUCUCUUGGCAAGUCUACUUAUGAAAAAGAAAUGAUGGCAGUGGUGCUCGCGGUUCAUCAUUGGUGACCAUAUUUGAUGGGGAGAAAAUUUGUGGUUUACACAGAUCAGAAAAGUUUGAGGCAUUUAUUGCAACAACCAAUUACAACUCUAGCUCAACAACAUUGGGUGGCAAAAUUGUUAGGGUAUGAUUUUGAAAUCAAGUAUAAGCCCGGCAAUACCAAUAAAGCUGCAGAUGCCCUCUCUCGUUGUGAGGAGGAAUUUGAAUGCCAACCAGUUGCUAUUCAGAAUUGGGUAGACAUGGAUCAAGUGGACAAGGAGGUGAGCCAAGAUCCUGAGUGGCAAAAGUUAAUAACUGAAUUGCAGCAAGAUCCGCGCUCUCAUCCUCAAUACCAACUUAUUUAGAAUCGGCUAUUUUAUAAGGCCCGAAUGGUAAUCUCAGCUACCUCUCCUCUUAUUUCUAAGUUAUUAUUAGAAUUUCAUACAUCUCCAGUUAGAGGACAUUCUGGAGCCUAUCAUACAUAUAGGCGAAUUGUUGCAUCUCUUUACUGGAAAGGAAUGAUGAGAACAAUUUAAGACUUUGUGGCACAGUAUAUUGUUUGUCAGUAACAUAAGUAUCAAGCCACUAGUCCAGCGGGUUUACUAUAGCCUCUUGCGAUCCCGAAGGCAAUUUGGGAAGACAUUUCUAUGGAUUUCAUCACGGGUUUACCUCGGUCGUAUGGUAUUGAUUGUGUAUUAGUGGUAGUGGAUCGACUCUCAAAAUAUGGCCACUUUCUACCUUUAAAACAUCCUUUUACAGCAAAGGAAGUAGUAGCUGCUUUUACAAAGGAAAUAGUUUGACUCCAUGGCAUGCCUCAAUCAAUAGUGAGUGAUCGGGAUCCAAUUUUUCUAAGUAAUUUUUGGCGUGAACUGUUUAAAUCACAAGGCACAUUUUUUAGAGUGAGCACUGCCUAUCAUCCGGAAACAGACGGGCAAACUGAAGUAUUAAAUCGGUGCCUUGAGACCUAUCUGAGGUGUUUCUCUUCAGAGCAGCCUAAGCAAUGGAGUAAUUGGUUAGCUUGGGCAGAAUAUUAGUAUAAUACAAGCCAUCACAC